rnacentral:rRNA from 1 species
CGCGUAGGCGGGAUCGUGGGUCAGCCGUGAAAUCCACCGGCUCAACCGGUGAACUGCGGUUGAAACUACGAUUCUUGAGCUCGGUAGAGGAAGGCGGAAUUCCUGGUGUAGCGGUGGAAUGCGUAGAUAUCAGGAAGAACACCGGUAGCGAAGGCGGCCUUCUGGGCCGUAGCUGACGCUGAGGCGCGAAAGCCGGGGGAGCGAACAGGAUUAGAUACCCUGGUAGUCC